CGAAAGCCUGACGGAGCAAGACCGCGUGAGGGAGGAAGGCUCUUGGGUUGUAAACCUCUUUUCUUGGGGAAGAAAAAAAUGACGGUACCCAAGGAAUCAGCAUCGGCUAACUCCGUGCCAGCAGCCGCGGUAAUACGGAGGAUGCAAGCGUUAUCCGGAAUUAUUGGGCGUAAAGCGUCCGCAGGUGGCACUUCAAGUCUGCUGUCAAAGGUCGGGGCUUAACCCCGGGAAGGCAGUGGAAACUGAAGCGCUAGAGUGUCGUAGGGGUAGAGGGAAUUCCCGGUGUAGCGGUGAAAUGCGUAGAGAUCGGGAAGAACAUCGGUGGCGAAAGCGCUCUACUGGACGACAACUGACACUCAGGGACGAAAGCUAGGGGAGCG
rnacentral:rRNA from 1 species